rnacentral:rRNA from 1 species
CAGCCGCCGCGGUAACACGAAGGGUGCAAGCGUUAAUCGGAAUUACUGGGCGUAAAGCGUGCGUAGGCGGUUUGUUAAGUCUGUUGUGAAAUCCCCGGGCUCAACCUGGGAAUGGCAAUGGAUACUGGCAAGCUAGAGUGUGUCAGAGGAUGGUGGAAUUCCCGGUGUAGCGGUGAAAUGCGUAGAGAUCGGGAGGAACAUCAGUGGCGAAGGCGGCCAUCUGGGACAACACUGACGCUGAGGCACGAAAGCGUGGGGAGCAAACAGGAUUAGAUACCCCGGUAGUCCCUGUCUCUUAUAC